UGCACAGAGGAGGUGAUCCACUACGGUGAACAUGAAAUGCCAAAACCCUGCCGUUCGCCCCAGAAGCAGCUUAACAAAUCGGAGGAGGGGGCGAGCGAGGGACGCGCCGCCGGCAAUGACACGGACGGUGACCUGGACCCCGGCCUGGCGCCCGACUCGGACGGACCUUCCACCCUGGAGAGGCUGGCCCCCGCCAUCGCAGAGUGCUUUGCCGUCAUCCUUUG